rnacentral:rRNA from 1 species
ACUCCUACGGGAGGCAGCAGUGGGGAAUUUUGGACAAUGGGCGAAAGCCUGAUCCAGCCAUGCCGCGUGCAGGAUGAAGGCCUUCGGGUUGUAAACUGCUUUUGUACGGAACGAAACGGCCUUUUCUAAUAAAGAGGGCUAAUGACGGUACCGUAAGAAUAAGCACCGGCUAACUACGUGCCAGCAGCCGCGGUAAUACGUAGGGUGCAAGCGUUAAUCGGAAUUACUGGGCGUAAAGCGUGCGCAGGCGGUUAUGUAAGACAGUUGUGAAAUCCCCGGGCUCAACCUGGGAACUGCAUCUGUGACUGCAUAGCUAGAGUACGGUAGAGGGGGAUGGAAUUCCGCGUGUAGCAGUGAAAUGCGUAGAUAUGCGGAGGAACACCGAUGGCGAAGGCAAUCCCCUGGACCUGUACUGACGCUCAUGCACGAAAGCGUGGGGAGCAAACAGGAUUAGAAACCCUGGUAGUCCCAUG